rnacentral:rRNA from 1 species
UACGGGGGGGGCAAGCGUUGUUCGGAAUUACUGGGCGUAAAGGGCUCGUAGGCGGCCAACUAAGUCAGACGUGAAAUCCCUCGGCUUAACCGGGGAACUGCGUCUGAUACUGGAUGGCUUGAGUUCGGGAGAGGGAUGCGGAAUUCCAGGUGUAGCGGUGAAAUGCGUAGAUAUCGAGAGGAACACCGGUGGCGAAGGCGGCCUUCUGGACAGUGACUGACGCUGAGACGCGAAAGCGUGGGGAGCAAACAGA